GUUUAAUGAUAUGAAUAAUUUAUCUUGAAUGAUUUAACUAUAUUUCCACAGAAAUUUGUAUAGUAACGAACCCAAUACUUUGGACAAAUCCAUUCUCUCUUUUCAAAAAUGUGGAUUAUCAGUGGGUAUGUUUUACUUUACUAACUUGUGGCAUCCAUUUGUUGCCCUCCUAUAAAAGAUUUUCUAGUUAGGAUCUACAAUAUCACUUACCUAAGGGGUACUUGGUACAGGCAAGAGAAAAUGAUUAGUAAUACCUUCCCACAGUAACAUUAAAUACAAUGUGCCUUGAAAGCAUAAAAGGGGCUUUCUGCCUCUAGGCCUAUAAACAUAAUUAAUCCAAACCAUCUCUUCUCACUAUGUUUUUUGUUUUUCUUUUUGAGAACAGAGUCUUGCUCUGUCGCCCAGGCUGGAGUGCAGCGGCAUAAUCUUGGCUCAUUGCAGCCUAUGCCUCCUGGGUUCAAAUGAUUCUCAUGACUUGGCGUCCUGAAUAGCUGGGAUUACAGGUGUGUGCCACCAUGCCCAGAGAAUUUAUUUUGUAUAUUUAGUAGAGACGAGGUUUCGCCAUGUUGGCCAGGCUGGUCUUGAACUCCUGACCUCGUGAUCUACCCGCCUCAGCCUCCCAAGGUGCUCUCUACUAAAAACACAAAAAAUCAGCCAGGUGUGGUGGUGAGUGCCUGUAAUCCUAGUUACUUGGGAGGCUGAGGCAGGAGAAUCGCUUGAACCCAGGAGGCAGAGGUUGCAGUGAGGUGAGAUCACGCCACUGCAUUCCAGCCUGGGUAACAGAGUGAGACUGUCUCAAAAAAUAAAAAUAAAAAAAAUAAAAAAUAAAAACACCCUUUCCUUGGCUUCUGUAACAAUGCUUUUUACUGGUUAUUCUCCCAAUUCUCCCACCUUUUGUUCUGUCCCUUUCCUGCUACUCCCCAUUUAGAAGAUAUAGAUACCCAGGCAGGCACAGUGCCUCACAUGUGCAAUCUCAACACUUUGGGAAGCUGAGUCAGGAGGGCUGCUUGAGACCAGGAGUUCCAGGCCAGCCUGGUCAACACAGCAAGUCCCCCAUCUCUAAAAAAAUUUUUUUUUAAAUUAGCAGACAACCAGAAUUUUGUUGUCAAUGACUUUUCCUUCUCUGGUCGAUUUCAUUCAUUCCUAGUUUUAACUACCUAAUCCUAUGUCUACCCCUAAAUGGGCUAUCAUCUGCCUACUGGGCAGCUCCACUUAGGAGCUCCCCUAGGUACUUUAGUUUCACAGUGUUCAUAAGUACUCAAACCAGAAAAUCUUUUCUUCAACUUGUAAGGUCCUGUUGAUUAGACACCUAUUAAGUAAACUUAAUUCUCCCUCUGCCUUUUCAAUCAUGCUAUCACAUUACCAACUUAAGGUCCUUAGCAUUACCUGCCUGGACUACUGUCAGAAAUACAUCACCUAGCCGGGCACAGGGGCUCAUGCUUGUAAUCCCAGCACUUUGGGAGGCUAAGGCAAGUGGAUCACUUGAGGUCAGGAGUUUGAGACCAGCCUGGCCAACAUGGUGAAAUCCUGGCUCUACUAAAACUACAAAAAUUAGCCAGACGUGGUGGCGUGCACCUGUG
rnacentral:lncRNA from 1 species